CCUUCGGGGAAAACCAAAACAAAAAAAAAAGAUAAUUUCCUGUGCUACUUUGUUAGAAUUUGUAGCUUACAAGUUCAUCGUGCGAGAGCGUCGAUAUUCUACUGUAAAAACUUCCAGAGCCAUUGUGUGUUUUGGAUAGAGCCGAUAUGAUAAAAAGUUUGUGGAUAAUGUUCGUUGAUAAAUUGCAAUGUGUGAAUGCUGAUCGACUUUGUCAUACUAACUUAUACUCAUACUAAGAGAUGUAAGCAACAAUAACAAGUUUCCUGAAGAAUGUUCCAAUCGGACAGUUACAAACAAUUAUGUCUGUAUAAGUUGUGGAAUAUCUUUGGGAAAGCAGUCACGAAGAUAAAAUCACAGGCCAUGGGCUUAUGGAAAGAAGUGAAGAGUGGUAUUAUAUAGAAAAACAAUCUCCGAGAUAGAUGCCUGAUGGAUGCCCAUGUAUGCGUUGUUUGCAGGAUGAGCUCACCUCAAAAGCAUUAAUAUCUAGUGAACAUAAAAGCUGUGUUAGGUGUGUUGUUGCAAUGUAUAUAUUUAUUAACCCCCAAUGCAAAAACAACGGGGUGUUAUAAGUUUGAAGUGUGUGUAUGUGUCUAUCUGUGGCAACGUAGCUCCCAAACGGAUGAUCCAAUUUUAAUAUGUUUUUUUUUUGUUUGUAAGUUAUAUUAGUCGAGAGUGUUCUUAGCUAUGUUUGGUAGAAAUCGGUUCAGGUCUUCGAGGUCAUCAGAGAUGUUUGUUAUGUGAUAGGAAUGUUACACGUUCAGUUUGCUUGCAAGCAUAGGUAUGUGGGAUAAGUUAUUUUUUGCUUUUUAUAGGGUUUUUAAUUUUUUUCACUUUUUUUCAUAAUAAUUGAGUACUUUUGUUUUGUCGGGGUUUUUUUUUUUGUUCAUAGAUGUUGGU